rnacentral:rRNA from 1 species
CAUCAACCCUGUGAACUUACCUAAACGUUGCUUCGGCGGGAAUAGACGGCCCUGUAAAACGGGCCGCCCCCGCCAGAGGACUCUUAACUCUGUUUCUUAUAAUGUUUCUUCUGAGUAAAACAAGCAAAUAAAUUAAAACUUUCAACAACGGAUCUCUUGGCUCUGGCAUCGAUGAAGAACGCAGCGAAAUGCGAUAAGUAAUGUGAAUUGCAGAAUUCAGUGAAUCAUCGAAUCUUUGAACGCACAUUGCGCCCGCCAGUAUUCUGGCGGGCAUGCCUGUUCGAGCGUCAUUACAACCCUCAGGCCCCCGGGCCUGGCGUUGGGGAUCGGCGGAGCGCCCCUCGUGGGCGCACGCCGUCCCCCAAAUACAGUGGCGGUCCCGCCGCAGCUUCCAUCGCGUAGUAGCUAACACCUCGCGACUGGAGAGCGGCGCGGCCACGCCGUAAAACACCCCAACUCUUCUGAAGUUGACCUCGAAUCAGGUAGGAAUACCCGCUGAACUUAAGCAUAUCAAUAAGCGGAGGAAAAGAAACCAACAGGGAUUGCCCCAGUAACGGCGAGUGAAGCGGCAACAGCUCAAAUUUGAAAUCUGGCUCUCGGGCCCGAGUUGUAAUUUGUAGAGGAUGCUUUUGGUGAGGUGCCUUCCGAGUUCCCUGGAACGGGACGCCAUAGAGGGUGAGAGCCCCGUCUGGUUGGACGCCGAACCUCUGUAAAGCUCCUUCGACGAGUCGAGUAGUUUGGGAAUGCUGCUCUAAAUGGGAGGUAUAUGUCUUCUAAAGCUAAAUACCGGCCAGAGACCGAUAGCGCACAAGUAGAGUGAUCGAAAGAUGAAAAGAACUUUGAAAAGAGAGUUAAACAGUACGUGAAAUUGUUGAAAGGGAAGCGCUUGUGACCAGACUUGGGCUUGGUUGAUCAUCCGGGGUUCUCCCCGGUGCACUCUUCCGGCCCAGGCCAGCAUCAGUUCGCCCUGGGGGACAAAGGCUUCGGGAACGUGGCUCUCUCCGGGGAGUGUUAUAGCCCG